AUUCCUUUCCAUUCAUUUAUAGCUUCAAUAGGCCAACCAAAAAGAAUUAUUAGCCUUUGACAAGAGACCAGAUUAUUGUUGUGAAAACUUGCAAAAAAAGAAAAAUUUCACCCAACUAAUCAGCCUCUCUUUGUAGUCAAAGUGCCGAGUGAAGUUUACUUUUCCACUUGUCAUUUCUUUCAAAAUUCCAUUUUUGCUUUGCUCUGGGGGCGAAUGGAGCAUCAGAUUCCACUUUCCAUUUCAUUCGAAAUGCCGAGCUCCUUAUUUACCCAUUCUUCUCGCGUAUAAAGAACCAUACUACCAGCUAAUCAGCCUCUCGUUGAGUCAAUUGUCUGUGUGUGUGUGUAUAGUUUCCGAACAUCAAGAUUUUCUGCUGGGAUUUUGGUGGCGAAUUUUAGGGUUCUUCAUGGAUUUGGGGGUGAAUUUGGGUUUCAAUUUGGAAC
rnacentral:lncRNA from 1 species